rnacentral:rRNA from 1 species
UACGUAGGGGGCAAGCGUUAUCCGGAUUUACUGGGUGUAAAGGGUGCGUAGGCGGGUCUUUAAGUCAGGGGUGAAAUCCUGGAGCUCAACUCCAGAACUGCCUUUGAUACUGAAGAUCUUGAGUUCGGGAGAGGUGAGUGGAACUGCGAGUGUAGAGGUGAAAUUCGUAGAUAUUCGCAAGAACACCAGUGGCGAAGGCGGCUCACUGGCCCGAUACUGACGCUGAGGCACGAAAGCGUGGGGAGCAAACAGG